CACAGUAGUGCGUACAUCAACUAAAGUACAGGAAAAUAACAAUAGUAACAGCUGUCGCUACACAAAGAGUACACUGAAAAUAGCCUUCCCGUUCAAUGUAACUUUGAUGCCUCGGUUGUCGUCUUUGAAUAGUCACGUUCCCGUAACUAUGGGCUGCGUAGCAACAGUAAUGUAUUAUCAUGUUGACUUUUGUAUCGGACACGGAAGGUUAUGCAACAUUUCCGGAUAAUGGGCGAUAUUACAGUGAUCGGUCUUUGGCUCUAUCCUGUGAAAAUGGAUUGGGUACUGAGAGGCAUCCUUAUCCCCAGCCUCCGGGGAUUCUGUGUAACAACACAGACUGGCUGUGGCCUGAAGGGACCAUUUUUGCAGGUAAAAUAGGCAUGUGUGUAUCCAGCAUCAAGCAAUCCAAUGUUAUAAUAAAAAUAACAAAAUUUUUUAGUAAUACUUUUACUUAUUAUUAAAUGUUGGUAAUCGUGUCAGAAAAUGCUUUUUCUAAUUAUACAGAAAAUUUUAAAAGUAUUUUUUUUCAUUUUAAAGUAGUAUUUGGCUCGAAAUAUUUUUUAUGACAAGAUUAAAAAUGAAUACUGAAAAUACAUUUAUUUUUGAAUAAGCGACGGGAGAGGAAGUGACGUUAUGUGCUUACCGGAACCCAUAAUUCUAAUAAAUCUAUCGCCAUCACACACGAUCGCCACGCCAACGGCUUCAAACCUGAAAUUACUGGUUGGCGGCGAUUUAAAUAGGCAAGAUUGUGGUACCUACAUAUUCGUGAGGGAUUAUGAUUCUCCCUACCACCGGUACUGAAAUAGUAAAUGCAAAAAGUAUUUAACACAUAUAGAAUAAUAUUUAUGAAAAUGAAUAAUGACUUUAACGUAGUAAUUUAACAAACAAGACCAUAAAAAGUUAUAUUUGUUGUUUUUACCUACAUACAUAUAUUAUGUCGGAACAUAA